CCUUAAUUUUUUUUUCAAUUUUAAAGCGGGAUAAGUGUCAUCAGUUGGGUAAGCUUGGGUUAAGUUUAACUAAUGCGUCAUAAAGCUAUCUUAUUCAUAAUAUAUCAUACGUUAUAAUAAAACAUGUCAUGAAAGAUCCAAUACAGACUGACUACAUGUUUUUAUUGACUGGUUUACAGAUUGAGAAACGCAGCAUAUAGUCCAUGAACAUGAUACAAGAGUUCUUGUUGCCGGGAUCUAUCUGGACAACAUGUCUUGCUGCUAUAGUUACUGGUCUUGUUGUGAAUUGGAUGAUACAAAAAUGGAAAUGUAAAUACCCACCUGGGCCUCCAGCAUUGCCGCUCAUUGGAAAUAUGCUGCAAAUCGACAAAAAGAUAUGCAUGAACAAGCAUUUGAGUGGUCAAAGAAAUAUGGGCCUCUCGUUACAGUUAAAAUAGGAACCUUUCAAGUGGUCUUUGUUAACUCAAUAGAUGCCGCUUUGGAGGUAUUGGUCAAAAAGUCAACGGACUUUGCUUUGAGAGUACUUACUCCAUCUCGUAAGCUGGAUUAAAGUCGUAUUCAUUCUGUGUGUGCCCUAUAAUUACUGUGGCAACAUUUCAGCCGAACUGGCAAUAGUAAUUAACGAUCGUAGGUCAAUUUACUGUUGAUAUUUGAAGUGAUUAGAAAUCGUUUUAGUCGAAGCAACUAACACUCAACCAUAGAGACACUAACCAUAUAGGUAGUUCUUGUACUUUAAGAGCCGCCAGUUUGUAUUCUGUCUAUUAAAUUACAUUAUUUUCAACCUCUAAUUACAUUCAUUAUAUCUGGAGUGAUUGGCAAACAGACUGGGUACAGUAUUUUACCUUAUAUCUAUAAAAUAUUUUUGAUAUUGUUUCAAUUACCUUUUCCAUUGUGUUGUUUUUCAAGUUGAUAUUUUAACUUACGGCGGGAAAAACAUUGGGUUUAGUAACUACGGACCAACGUGGAAAUUACACAGAAAAAUUGCAACCAAGGCU